AAAUAUAUACUCUUUUUUUUUUAAAUAACGCCCCUAAACCUGCCUCAUGCCAGCAGGGAAGGAAGACAGCGAUAUCUUUAUAGUCCUUACUAUAGUGAUGAGCACCAGUAUUAACCUAGACAGACACAGAUUUGGUCACUUGUGGGAUUUUGAGCACUUGUGAGUGCAGGACACAGCAAAACCCUUGCUGCAGCUUUCCUGGUUUUGUUCUACCACAUUCCUUGAUCUGCAUUGAUGGGGCAUUUGCCAUACUGCCAACCAAAGCUUGAGUUUCCUCAAAGCUCAGGUUUGCACUAAAUUCACUGCGUUGAAGCUCAUUUCUUCAGCCUAAUUUCUUUGUGCUCUUCAGCACGUGUCCAACCUGCCAAUAUGGUCAAUGCCAUCAGUAAUCUCAGUGUAGCCAGUUUCAACACCAGUAUCAGCACAGCUGCCUCCCACAUUGAUGCAGUGAGUCUAUUUGGGAUCAAAUGGACUGGUGAGAGGAAAACCCUCAGGAGUCUUUUCUGGACACAGCUGAGCUGAAAGGCUCCUCUGAGGCUGUGUUUGUGUGUCCCCCAGAGGGAGACUGAGGAAGACAAAGGCUUUUUAUCUCUUCAGAGACCAAGUAUAACAGGUAAUUGUUUUCUUUUCAGGAUGUGAGCUGCACACCUGCCAGAGCAAGAAUGGAAUUUCUCUCCUUUCCUGCAGCAUUGCAGAACCAACGAGGUUGUCAAGACUGGAUGGCAGAGUGGAUGAAAUGCAUAGCUGCCCAGGGGACCACAAAAUUAGAGAGAUUUGAACCAUGGGUGGAGUGAUCCUGCAGGACUGGACCAAGCUGAACUGGCUUGUACAGAGCUGGCUUUGCAGUGAGGACUGAUCAGACUGGUAGCAAGACAGUGCUGGCUUCACAGCACUUCCCAAGCUAGUGAGGACUGAUCAGACCAGUGGUGGAAGAGCUGAUGUCGCAGACCUGAACCAGCUCUGGUGAGAUCUCCACAUCUGCACUUCAGCCCAGCCCAGUCCCAUCCUUAUGCCUCUCUACAGGACCUCUCCACUUAAAUAUUUGAUGGGUGCUGUAUACUUUGUUCUGGCUUUCUGACCCAGGACAAGCUGCGUGGUCACUUAUUUAUUGAGCAUAAUGGAUUGAUUAGAUGUUAACUGCUUUAACUGACUAUUUGGCAUUUGCUUUGCAUACUACUUAC